CCUACGGGAGGCAGCAGUGAGGAAUAUUGGUCAAUGGGCGGAAGCCUGAACCAGCCCAGUAGCGUGCAGGAUGACGGCCCUACGGGUUGUAAACUGCUUUUAUACGGGAAUAACGCGCCUUACGUGUAGGGCUUUGCAUGUACCGUAUGAAUAAGGCCCGGCUAAUUCCGUGCCCGCAGCCGCGGUAAUACGGAAGGUCCGGGCUUUAUCCGGAUUUAUUGGGGUUAAAGGGCGCGUAGGCCGCCUGUCAAGCUUGCUGUGAAAUGUCCGGGCUCAACCCGGGCCUUGCAGCGCGAACUGGCGUGCUUGAGUCCGCGGAAAGCAGGCGGAAUUCGUCGUGUAGCGGUGAAAUGCUUAGAUAUGACGAAGAACCCCGAUUGCGAAGGCAGCUUGCUGCAGCGGAACUGACGCUGAUGCUCGAAAGCGCGGGUAUCGAACAGGAUUAGAUACCCUUGUAGUC
rnacentral:rRNA from 1 species